GCAGUCGAACGGCAGCACGGGAGCAAUCCUGGUGGCGAGUGGCGAACGGGUGAGUAAUAUAUCGGAACGUGCCCAGUCGUGGGGGAUAACGUAGCGAAAGUUACGCUAAUACCGCAUACGAUCUACGGAUGAAAGCGGGGGAUCGCAAGACCUCGCGGGAUUGGAGCGGCCGAUAUCAGAUUAGCUUGUUGGUGGGGUAAAAGCCCACCAAGGCGACGAUCUGUAGCUGGUCUGAGAGGACGACCAGCCACACUGGGACUGAGACACGGCCCAGACUCCUACGGGAGGCAGCAGUGGGGAAUUUUGGACAAUGGGCGCAAGCCUGAUCCAGCAAUGCCGCGUGCAGGAUGAAGGCCUUCGGGUUGUAAACUGCUUUUGUACGGAACGAAACGGUCCUUUCUAAUACAAGGGGCUAAUGACGGUACCGUAAGAAUAAGCACCGGCUAACUACGUGCCAGCAGCCGCGGUAAUACGUAGGGUGCGAGCGUUAAUCGGAAUUACUGGGCGUAAAGCGUGCGCAGGCGGUUUUGUAAGACAGAUGUGAAAUCCCCGGGCUUAACCUGGGACCUGCAUUUGUGACUGCAAGGCUGGAGUACGGUAGAGGGGGAUGGAAUUCCGCGUGUAGCAGUGAAAUGCGUAGAUAUGCGGAG
rnacentral:rRNA from 1 species